UCCAGAUUCUCCAGGAGGUCCAGGGUUACCAGCUUCUCCAGGUUCACCCUAUACAUGUGUGAGGAUAAACUGAUGAGUUAUUAGUAUUGGUACACUGUGUCAAACAGUGUGAAGAUAAAUGAAAGGUAGCAGAAUUUAAGACUUCUGAAGUAAAGAAUUUCAGUGAUGGUGUACAAGGAAGAUGAGAAAGUACCUGUGCAUUUAAUUAUCUGAUGGACAGAAAGAAAAGAGCCGAUUGAGCCUGGGGGACCUUGAGGACCCUGCGAUGAUACAAGAUGAUAGUUAUUCCAAAUACAGUUAUCCCAAAUAUACUGCUUAUUACUGAAUUUCAAA